GAGUCUGUAGCUUCAAGUGGCUGAAUCUUUGAAAAAUGCAGGAAGAACUUCAGUCUUUGAAGUCAUUUUCCCUUUGGGAGGUCUCUCCUUCGUGAGUAAGGCAACCAUCAACAGCAGAGCCACUUUAGAGUCUCCUGGGAAAGUGUGAACAUGACAGUAAACAGCCUACAUCAAAGACAUUUCAAUUCAGCAACAAGCCUUUCUGUUUCGGGCUCAUAGGCAGAAGGAACUUGCCUUCUCUCAGAUGAGACUUUGGACUUGGACAUUUAAGUUAACGCUGGAAUGAGCUAAGAUUUUGGGGGACUGUUGGAAAGACAUGAUUGUGGUUUGAAAUGUGAGAAGGACAUGAGAUUUGGGAGGGGCCAGGGUGGAAUGAUAUGGUAUAACUCUGUGUCCCCACCUAAAUUUGAUACUGAACUGUAAUUCCCAGUGUUGGAGGAGGGACCUCUUGGGAGGUGAUUGGAUCAUGUGGGUGAAUUUGCUGUUUGCUGUUCUCAUGAUAGUGAGUUCUCUUGAGAUUUGGUUUUGUAAAUAUGUGUAGCACUUCCCCCUUAGUGCUCUCUGUCUCUCUCUCUCUCUCUCCUGCCACUAUUUGAACAUAUGUGUGCUUUUCCUUCACCUUCCACCAUGAUUGUAAGUUUCCUGAGGCCUCCCCAGCCAUGCCUCCUCUACAGCCUGUGGAACUGAGUCAAUUAAACCACUUUUCUUCUUUAUAGCAGUGUGAGAAUAGACUACUACACAUAGGUUGUAGGGAAAUGUGCCUGGUGACAUAGUAAUUGCUGAUCUUGACUCAUACUCACUUGCUCUGAACUUUUGCAAUGGCCUGUUACCCUUAUACCUGAAUUUUAUUUGCACUGCAGGCACUUCCCUACUGGGGCUUUCAUGGCUGUCUGCAAGGCAUACUGUUUUCCUUUUUCUUCCAUAAUGACUUCUCAUUUCUG
rnacentral:lncRNA from 1 species